rnacentral:rRNA from 1 species
AAUGGACGUUGGCGGCGUGGAUUAGGCAUGCAAGUCGAGCGAGAACCCCGCAAGGGGGGACAGCGGCGAAAGGGACAGUAAUGUGUAGAUUAUCUGCCCUCAGGUCCGGGAUAGCUGCGGGAAACUGCAGGUAAUACCGGAUAACAUCUCCGGAUCAAAGGUGUGAUUCCGCCUGAGGAUGAGUCUGCAUCCUAUUAGCUAGUUGGUGGGGUAAUGGCCUACCAAGGCAUUGAUGGGUAGCAGGUGUGAGAGCACGACCUGCGUCAUUGGGACUGAGACACUGCCAGACACCUACGGGUGGCUGCAGUCGAGAAUCUUCGGCAAUGGGCGCAAGCCUGACCGAGCGACGCCGCGUGUGGGAUGAAGGCCUUCGGGUUGUAAACCACUGUCAGAGGGGAUGAAAUGCAGGUGGGUUCUCCCAUCUGUUUGACAUAGCCUCAGAGGAAGGACGGGCUAAGUUCGUG